AAUUAAAUAAUUAGUCAUGCUAUCCCAUGUUUUACUGCUUAAAGAAUAGUCUCUUGUUAUAUGCUAGUGUUUUUUGUAACCUUAGCUUACAGCUAAGAGAUGUUUGGGUGCAACCGCAGCAUGUGAAAUCCCGUGGGUUUACUAUCUACAGAAAGUCACAUGUAUGGAACCUUGCAGAAAGGAGUACAAUAUAGUGUUUGUUGUUGUGAAUGCAGUUAGACGGUUGAGCCCUCGGGCUAUCAACCUCGUGCUAUCUUAAAGUCUGCACAGACAACUAAUUACCUUUUACUUCUGCUAACUGCCACGUGUACAGAAAGGGAUUGUAUUUUCUCUAUAAAAGCAGAGACCUAGCUAUGUUUGUUAAGCUUUCAACUCUGAGCCAUUAUUGGUGAUGUUGAUUGCUUCAUUUUUGCAAAUCUUAGAAUAAAGCUUUUGUUGGAAGAAUUUACUGUUUCUCUCUUCCUCUAGAAUUUCCCUGACAAAAUUGGUGACGAGGAUGGACGGCUAACUCCACUUGCUGAUUGCUCCCACGGAGACCGAGGUUACCUGUGCACAGGACUGCAUUAGACGUGGCUCGGGAACCCAAACUCCGGCUAAAACGGAGCAGAAAGGGACCCGCCUCGGACCGGUUGGGAGCGUCAGUGAAUGGAUAUGCCAUUCCGGACAGACGAAAUAGAUUAAGGGUGCAGGGCCUGGGGAGGUGAGACAGUGGAGGAAGAAGUGUUCCUUUGACACACAGAGGAACCUCUGGCUGGGGCCAAAUGGCCUUCCCGUUUGACCCAGAUCUUGCAAGUUGGCACAUGGCCAAGACCAUGUGUCAAAGGUAGGGAGUUGUAGAAAUUGUACAUCAUUUUUGGUUUGCUCCUGGAUUUUCUGUUUUUGCGGAGCAAUUCUGUGCUAAGUGUUUGAUUUGUAUGACUAACAAUGCAGGCAGAGGCAUUUCGAUGCCUAUGUCAGACCACCCAAGGCCUGAAUGACCUUUUGAGCACAUAAUGAUGGACUUCAUUGAGCGUACUCCAUGCCAGGGGUAUAAGUACUGCCAGGUUGUAGUUGAUGCCUUCUCUAAAUGGGUAGAAGCAUUUCCUUGUAAGCAUGCCACAGCAAUAGCUGUAGCAAAUAACCUACUAAGGGAAAUCAUCCCUAGGUGGGGUCUGCCAUCCAAAUUAACGUCAGACAUCGGCUCUCAUUUUGUAAAUAAUGUUAUUCAGAACAUCUCUGAAAGAUUGCAAAUUGACCUGCGAACACAUUGUAGUUAAUAUCCGUCCAGUGGUGGUCUUUUAGAGAGCCAACCAAAUGCUGAAAAUGAAAUUGGCUAAAAUGAGGGCUGAGACCGGAUUGCCAUGGUAACAGUAAUGUCUCUGGCUCUGAUGUACAUGCGUGGAUGCGCGCAUCGUACCACUAGUUUAGCACCUCAUGAAAUACUCACAGGAAGACCCAUGAGAAUGCUUAUCACGCCAUUCCCUCAGAACAGGUUGACAUUGAUGGUUGUGAGGAUCAAAUGGUAAGUUACUGUGCUGCACUUAACAAUGUUCUGAAGUCUAUUUUUCCCAGGGUGAAAGUGACUUUACAUGAAUCAAAGGGAGGACCAUUACACAAACUUCCACCAGGCGAUUGGGUGGCCAUCAAGGACUUCAGCAGAAAGACCUGGCACCUACAGCGCUGGAGUGGUCCAUUCUAGGAGCUCCUAAUGACCCAGACAGUGGUGAAAGUUGCAGAGAGGUCUACAUGGGUUCACGCCAGCCACCGCAGGAAGGUACCGCACAACCCAGACGAAGAUGUACCAGCCGAUGUCCCAUCGUAGGCAACCCCAGAUGCCAUGUGGCGACCCGGACCGGACUCUACGCAUCAUGUUUGUUGCUUUCGUGGUCAGUCUUCUCAUUGCAGCUGUUGUAUGGGCCUUGGGAGGAGCAGAACAGCCCAGAUUGAGAAGUGGCCACAUUGCAACUGAAGAAUACAACACCAACAUAGUCACAUGGCGGGACUUAAAUAACAGCAGCUCCAACUCGAGCCAACGGCAGGCUCAGGACAGAAGUCCAGAAAACAAUAGCUGCUCCGAUACCAGAAUAAGCAGGAGGUCGAUGCAUCCACCUGACGAGCAUCCCAGCCGGAAUCACGAGGGAAACACUUGGUGGUCACUGCUUAAUCAUACAGUAAAAACUGAACUUAUGGUAGAAAACACCUCCUGCUAUGUAUAUAGUCUUUUUCCACACUCAGCGAUUUCACCAUUCCUACAGUAUUCAGUAGAGGCCAGCAUUAAUGACACUCUAUGUGCACUGGUAAUGCUCUUAUCAAAUGAAACUUCAUGGGGUAAACCUUCACAGGGUAAAACUUUGAGGGAAAAAUGCAUUAAUGGUGAUUUAUCAUUGACAAAAUAUAUCAGAGGUGGAUUUGAUUGUGCACAUUGGUGUACCAAAAUUAUUUUAGAACCCAGACACCGUGUACCAGAGCCUAUUCUAAUCCAACCCCGGCGAACCCCAUUCCGAUCCUGCCAUUGUCACAACCCAAGUAAUAUCUCCAUACCACAAUUCAAUGAAUCCAAUCUGGGAAUGUCAACGUGUGUUAAUUACAGUGUCUUCCCAAUAGGAUGUAGCUAGAUAAAUGGAACAUGCGCUUCUAGCAUUCCCAUUAAACUAAAUGUGGGGUACACCACUAUUCAGACAGAAACAGACAUUUACUCUCCACAUCAAUAUGGCUCAGCCACGUUUACUGAUUAUUUUUGGAUCUGUGGUGAUAAGGCAUAUCUUUAUUUACUAACAAAUUGGACAGGGUGCUGUGUUUUGGUAAACUAAAUAUCUCCAAUGUUGUAAUGCAUAAAACCAACUCCUCCAUUCCAAGUAGAUUAAGACAGGUUAGAAGGAGCAUUUCACAAUUAAAUGACGUUCCAAUUGAGUCACAAAAAUCCUCGAAACAUGAAAAGUUUUGGUGCGGGUUAAUUCCUUGGUAUGGGGCAUCUGAAAAUGCCUAUGAUUUAGAUUGAUUAGGAUAUCAUUUAAAAUCUUUGGUCAAUUUAACCACUUCAGGAUUUUUGAUAAUAAGACCGGAAUUGCAAGCCGGUCGCCUCACGGCUGUACAGAAUAGGGUAGCACUUGACAUGUUGCUAGCAGGGGAGGGGGGAGUGUGCAAAAUGAUAGGUGACCAUUGCUGUACAUUCAUACCCCGCAGUGAGGGUAACUUUACUAUGGUUGUGGAACAUCUGAAAGAGCUCAGCGGUGAUCUCGCAAACGAACACCAACCAGACAACGAUUGGAAUCCAUUUGGAUGGAUUCAGUCAUUAUUUGGUGUUAUGGGAGCUACAAUAUUUCAUUGGUUGAUUUAUGGCUUAGUUAUUUGUUUUACAAUAAUGCUUAUUAUAACCUGUGUUAAGAAAUUAUGCAGGAAAGCCGUUGAGACUAUUCUUGCCAUGCCAUUACCGACCCCUGAAGGAAAUGUCUCAGAACCCUAUUUACCAGAUUUAUUUCCUAUGUCUGACUACGUCUGAUGAAGACAAUGAUAAUCCCUAACUCCAAGGUAAAAACAUUCAGUUAAUGAUGCAGCAUGCCCGUAGGCCAUGCUCAAAGCAGAGGUUCUGUAAAUAAUGCUCCCAAGGUAGAGUUAAGGGCCUACCGUCAUGGUGACCCUGUGGCAAUAUGGACAGUCUCAACGAAGCUAUUGCCUUGUGUGUGGUGAUAAAGUAUGAACCAAUGUUUAUAUUCAUAUGUUCCUUUCCCCCUUUCUUGCACUAUUUGAACGAUUGAAACUUGCAAUGUAUUGUAGUUUACUAAGUGUAAGAAAAGUAUUUCCUUUUCCUCUUUUUCCUCAUGUCAAUGCCUCCUCAUGUCAAUGCAAUGUUUAAUGAAAAUGCUUGUAAGUAAUUUUCUAUUAGGUUUAAACUUAGUCUCAAAAGGGAGGAAAUGUUGUGGAAAAUUACAUAAUUAGUCAUGCUAUCCCGUGUUUUACUGCUUAAAGAAUAGUCUUUUGUUAUAUGCUAGUGUUUUUUCUAACCUGAUACAAACUUCUCUUGGUGUGACUUAGUCAUAAGACUGGGUUUGCAGCUAAGAGACGUUUGGGUUCAACUGCAGCAUGUGAAAUCCGGUGGGUUUACUAUCUAUAGAAAGUCACGUAUGGAACCUUGCAGAAAGGAGUACAAUAUAGUGUUUGUUGUUGUGAAUGCAGUUAGACGGUUGAGCCCUCGGGCUACCAACCUCGUGCUAUCUUAAAGUCUGCACAGAUAACUAAUUACCUUUUACACACUCUGCUGACUACCACGGAUACAGAAAGGGGUUGUAUAUUCUCUAUAAAAGCAGAGACCUGGCUAUGUUUGUUAAGAUUUCAACUCUGAAACAUUAUUGGUGAUGUUGAUUGCUUCAUUUUUGCAAGUCUUAUAAUAAAGCUUUUGUUGGAAGAAUU